rnacentral:rRNA from 1 species
UACGGAGGGUCCAAGCGUUAUCCGGAAUCAUUGGGUUUAAAGGGUCCGUAGGCGGUUUUGUAAGUCAGUGGUGGAAGCCCAUCGCUCAACGGUGGAACGGCCAUUGAUACUGCAAGACUUGAAUUAUUGGGGAGUAACUAGAAUAUGUAGUGUAGCGGUGAAAUGCUUAGAGAUUACAUGGAAUACCAAUUGCGAAGGCAGGUUACUACCAAUAUAUUGACGCUGAUGGACGAAAGCGUGGGGAGCGAACAGG